GCCGGGGUGGCGAAAUUGGCAGACGCACUUGCCUUAGGAGCAAGCGAGGUAACUCAUGGAGGUUCAAGUCCUCUCCCCGGCACCA
rnacentral:tRNA from 1 species